rnacentral:rRNA from 1 species
AGAGUUUGAUCAUGGCUCAGGACGAACGCUGGCGGCGUGCUUAACACAUGCAAGUCGAACGCUGAUCCGGUUUCGGUCGGUUAGGAGUGGCGAACGGGUGAGUAACACGUGGGCAAUCUGCCUGCACUCUGGGACAAGCCCUGGAAACGGGGUCUAAUACCGGAUAGGACCUGCUGAGGCAUCUUGGCGGGUGGAAAGCU